rnacentral:rRNA from 1 species
GCAGUCGAGCGGUAAGGCCCUUCGGGGUACACGAGCGGCGAACGGGUGAGUAACACGUGGGUGAUCUACCCUGUACUUCGGGAUAAGCCUGGGAAACUGGGUCUAAUACCGGAUAUGACCUUCCGAUGCAUGUCGGUGGGUGGAAAGAUUUAUCGGUACAGGAUGGGCCCGCGGCCUAUCAGCUUGUUGGUGGGGUAAUGGCCUACCAAGGCGACGACGGGUAGCCGGCCUGAGAGGGCGACCGGCCACACUGGGACUGAGACACGGCCCAGACUCCUACGGGAGGCAGCAGUGGGGAAUAUUGCACAAUGGGCGAAAGCCUGAUGCAGCGACGCCGCGUGAGGGAUGACGGCCUUCGGGUUGUAAACCUCUUUCGACAGGGACGAAGCGCAAGUGACGGUACCUGUAGAAGAAGCACCGGCCAACUACGUGCCAGCAGCCGCGGUAAUACGUAGGGUGCGAGCGUUGUCCGGAAUUACUGGGCGUAAAGAGCUUGUAGGCGGUUUGUCGCGUCGUCCGUGAAAACUUGGGGCUCAACCCCAAGCUUGCGGGCGAUACGGGCAGACUUGAGUACUGCAGGGGAGACUGGAAUUCCUGGUGUAGCGGUGAAAUGCGCAGAUAUCAGGAGGAACACCGGUGGCGAAGGCGGGUCUCUGGGCAGUAA